UGAUUAUUUGAUUUCUUCUCUUUUUUUUUUCAUUUUCAGAAGUAAUUCACGAGAUCGUGCACCCUUCUUUCCUAGUUUUUAGUUUGAAAG